rnacentral:rRNA from 1 species
AACGAACGCUGGCGGCAGGCUUAACACAUGCAAGUCGAACGCCCCGCAAGGGGAGUGGCAGACGGGUGAGUAACGCGUGGGAAUCUACCCAGAACUUCGGAACAACUGAGGGAAACUUCAGCUAAUACCGGAUACGCCCUACGGGGGAAAGAUUUAUCGGUUCUGGAUGAGCCCGCGUUGGAUUAGCUAGUUGGUGAGGUAAAGGCUCACCAAGGCGACGAUCCAUAGCUGGUCUGAGAGGAUGAUCAGCCACACUGGGACUGAGACACGGCCCAGACUCCUACGGGAGGCAGCAGUGGGGAAUAUUGGACAAUGGGCGAAAGCCUGAUCCAGCCAUGCCGCGUGAGUGAUGAAGGCCUUAGGGUUGUAAAGCUCUUUCGGACGGAAAGAAAUCGCGCAGGUAAAUAAUCUGCGUGGAUGACGGUACCGUAAGAAGAAGCACCGG